GGGACACGUGGUAUCCUGUCUGAAUAUGGGGGGACCAUCCUCCAAGGCUAAAUACUCCUGACUGACCGAUAGUGAACCAGUACCGUGAGGGAAAGGCGAAAAGAACCCCGGCGAGGGGAGUGAAAAAGAACCUGAAACCGUGUACGUACAAGCAGUGGGAGCACCUUCGGGUGUGACUGCGUACCUUUUGUAUAAUGGGUCAGCGACUUAUAUUCUGUAGCAAGGUUAACCGUAUAGGGGAGCCGCAGGGAAACCGAGUCUUAACUGGGCGUUAAGUUGCAGGGUAUAGACCCGAAACCCGGUGAUCUAGCCAUGGGCAGGUUGAAGGUUGGGUAACACUAACUGGAGGACCGAACCGACUAAUGUUGAAAAAUUAGCGGAUGACUUGUGGCUGGGGGUGAAAGGCCAAUCAAACCGGGAGAUAGCUGGUUCUCCCCGAAAGCUAUUUAGGUAGCGCCUCGUGAAUUCAUCUUCGGGGGUAGAGCACUGUUUCGGCUAGGGGGUCAUCCCGACUUACCAACCCGAUGCAAACUACGAAUACCGAAGAAUGUUAUCACGGGAGACACACGGCGGGUGCUAACGUCCGUCGUGAAGAGGGAAACAACCCAGACCGCCAGCUAAGGUCCCAAAGUCAUGGUUAAGUGGGAAACGAUGUGGGAAGGCACAGACAGCCAGGAUGUUGGCUUAGAAGCAGCCAUCAUUUAAAGAAAGCGUAAUAGCUCACUGGUCGAGUCGGCCUGCGCGGAAGAUGUAACGGGGCUAAACCAUGCACCGAAGCUGCGGCAGCGACACUAUGUGUUGUUGGGUAGGGGAGCGUUCUGUAAGCCUGCGAAGGUGUGCUGUGAGGCAUGCUGGAGGUAUCAGAAGUGCGAAUGCUGACAUAAGUAACGAUAAAGCGGGUGAAAAGCCCGCUCGCCGGAAGACCAAGGGUUCCUGUCCAACGUUAAUCGGGGCAGGGUGAGUCGACCCCUAAGGCGAGGCCGAAAGGCGUAGUCGAUGGGAAACAGGUUAAUAUUCCUGUACUUGGUGUUACUGCGAAGGGGGGACGGAGAAGGCUAUGUUAGCCGGGCGACGGUUGUCCCGGUUUAAGCAUGUAGGCUGGUUAUCCAGGCAAAUCCGGAUAAUCAAGGCUGAGGUGUGAUGACGAGGCACUACGGUGCUGAAGUAACAAAUGCCCUGCUUCCAGGAAAAGCCUCUAAGCAUCAGGUAACAUCAAAUCGUACCCCAAACCGACACAGGUGGUCAGGUAGAGAAUACCAAGGCGCUUGAGAGAACUCGGGUGAAGGAACUAGGCAAAAUGGUGCCGUAACUUCGGGAGAAGG
rnacentral:rRNA from 1 species